rnacentral:rRNA from 1 species
AAGUAUUAAAGGUCCCGCCUGCCCAGUGAAAGACUUUCAACGGCCGCGGUAUUCUAACCGUGCAAAGGUAGCGUAAUCACUUGUCUUCUAAAUAAAGACCAGUAUGAACGGCUAAAUGAGGACAAACCUGUCUCAUAUGACUAAUCAGUGAAACUGAUCUAUCAGUACAAAAGCUGAUAUAAAAACAUAAGACGAGAAGACCCCGUGGAGCUUAAAAUAAAGCACUAACCUUCACGCUCUAGUCUAUUAUUUUGAGUUGGGGCGACUUCGGAACAAAACAAAACUUCCGAGCACAGAACCACAUCUUCUAACCAAGGCCAACAAGCCAAACAAACUGACCCGGUCUCACCGAUCAACGAACCAAGUUACCCCGGGGAUAACAGCGCUAUCUUCUUCAAGAGUCCCUAUCAACAAGAAGGUUUACGACCUCGAUGUUGGAUCAGGACACCCAAAUGGUGCAGCCGCUAUUAAAGGUUCGUUUGUUCAACGAUUAACAGUCCUACGUGAUCUGAGUUCAGACCGGAG